rnacentral:rRNA from 1 species
AUUGAACGCUGGCGGCAUGCCUUACACAUGCAAGUCGAACGGCAGCACGGGUGCUUGCACCUGGUGGCGAGUGGCGAACGGGUGAGUAAUACAUCGGAACAUGUCCUGUAGUGGGGGAUAGCCCGGCGAAAGCCGGAUUAAUACCGCAUACGAUCUACGGAUGAAAGCGGGGGACCUUCGGGCCUCGCGCUAUAGGGUUGGCCGAUGGCUGAUUAGCUAGUUGGUGGGGUAAAGGCCUACCAAGGCGACGAUCAGUAGCUGGUCUGAGAGGACGACCAGCCACACUGGGACUGAGACACGGCCCAGACUCCUACGGGAGGCAGCAGUGGGGAAUUUUGGACAAUGAGCGAAAGCCUGAUCCAGCAAUGCCGCGUGUGUGAAGAAGGCCUUCGGGUUGUAAAGCACUUUUGUCCGGAAAGAAAUCCUUGGCCCUAAUACGGUCGGGGGAUGACGGUACCGGAAGAAUAAGCACCGGCUAACUACGUG